CUUCCGGAAAAGGGACGCGCGCUGCCCCGGUUCUGACUGCGGGCCUGGGACUAUGGAUCUCAGCUGCGGCCUGGCUCUUUCUCUCAGCUGUCGGCCCCCGAGUUUAACGCUAUACAUCUGUCCCUCCCAGACCAUGAGAGGAUGGUUGACUUCUCUUUCCAGGUGCCGCCUUUCACUUCCUCUCACCUCGAUUUAGUUCAGGACUUUUUGUUUUUUUGCAUUUUGGGACAAGUAGGAAGACAGAAUUUCAAGGUGGACAUCGUGGAUUACAAUUGCACAAAGUAGAGCCUGGCUUCUUUGUGGAGAGUCCAGAUGCAGCUGAUUUUGUCCCUCUGGGGCUACGUGGUAUCUUCUCUCAGCACCUCUCACCUACUUUACUCUUCUCUUUGAACACUGGAUUCCUAUAACUGUUCCAGAAUGAAAGCCUCGGCCCCAUGUCUCUUUGACCUUCCAGUUUGAUCCGUGUAGCAAACCGUUUCCCAGUACGAGUUUUCUGGAAGAGAAUUCCGAUUGGUCAAACAUGGGUGCCAUUCAUUAGAGGGACAGUGACCAAUGACAUCCAUUACGCACGGCCAUGAAUAUUUAUCUAGUGCCUUAUCCCUGUACCAGAGAGAAUAGGAAAAGAGUUAUGAAGAGGCUUUUCUUCCACACCAGAUGACCAGUGUCCUUCCUCAGCUCAACUGAAAAAAUUAAGUGGACUGGUCUUCAGGUGAGGCUUCAUACCCCACUAAUAUUCUCCUGGGUGAGGGUUAACUUAACUGAUGAAAGAAAGUACGUGACGGAUUCUAAUGCUAGUGGAAUAAUGGAGUAGUUUGCCAGGGUCUAUUGAUACAACUCUUUAUCUAGAAGGCCUUAAGACAAGCUUAGUUCACAAUUUUGCUUAGUAUCUGUGUGACUUAAGAGUUACUCACAGGCAGCCCUCUGAAGAAUUGUCAGUCUCUAUACCAGCACUGUCCUUUCCCCUCUACUCCAAAACCAGCCAAGCUUACGCAGAUGACACCACAAUUGUAACUCAGUGAAUGGAUGUGAGAGAAUUGGGACAGACAGUGAGUAGCCAGACAUGUGUCAUUUACCCACAGACGUUACUGACAUCCUACUCUGUCACUCUAGGCCUGGCCCCUUUAUUUCCAGUAACUUAUUUCUACCAUUCUUUUGAGCAUUUCUGUUUGGAUAUCCUGCCAUUAUCUCAAACUCAGUCAUUAUCUUCCCCAAAGCAGUUUGCCUGUCUGAUUUUCUACCCUUGUUAAUGAUAUGAUUAAGCCUCAAAACCUCUGAGUCACUAUGACCUUUCCCCACUUUGCCAACACCAUCAACCCAAUGGCCAAGUCCUCUUGAAGUGUCUUUUUGAUUUGCCCCUUUCUUUCCAUUUCAAAACUAACGAUAUUAUUAAAAGUUUCAAACACGCCAAAUCUUGCUGGGGCUUCUUAAUUUCCUCGCUUUCAGGUUCACUCCCCUCAAACACACCAGAUUAAAAUUUCCAGAACUCUAAUCUUGCCUUAUCACUAUUUAAUUAAAUUAAUUAAUUUAUUUUCUGGUCGCACCACGCAGCUUGUGGGAUCUUAGUUCCCCGACCAGGGAUUGAACCUGGGCCCCCUGCAGUGGAAGCACGGGGUCAUAACCACUGGAUCACCUGGGGAUUCCCAUCUUAUCACUAUCUAAUGGCAUUUGAUGAAUUCUGCAGGAUUUAUUGCGGGGGGGGGGGUGAAGAGUUAUAUUUUCGUUUCCCUGAAGUCAUCUGGAGACGCCCCGAAGAUGGUGUUUGUGUAUGGUCUUCAGUAGUCACAGUUUUGAGGAAAACUUUAGUGGACAUCUGAAUCUUUCUUGCACUCUAAAUUAUUAGUGUUUUGUCAUUCACAUUUAUAUCUAUACUUUAACUGUAAUUAGUUUCGUGUAUGGUAUGAGAUAGUAAUCAAGUUGCAUUUUUUUUUUCCUGUAUGGAUACCCAAUUUUCCAUUAUCAUUAUUAUUAAAAAUACUGUUCUUUUCCCAUCUCCCCCAGUUCUUUCUCAUGAACCAAGUACCUCUACAUCUGUUGCCUUUUUAUAAGCUCUCUGUUUAUUCCAUUGGUCUAUUCUUUUAUCCUUGCUUCAGCAACUCACUCUCUUAAAUAGCUUUAUAAUGACUUAGUAAAACAAGUCCUCCUACAAUGCUCUUCUUCGUUGAGAAUGUCUUAACUAAGACCCUUUUGUGUUUCCAUGUAAGUUUUAGAAAAAGCUUGUCAAGUUUUACUUUUAAAAAAAUCCUAUUGCUAUUUUGACUGGGCUUGCACUGCAGUAGGGGAAUAAUGAUGUCUUUACAACAUGGAGUUUUCCAAUUCUUAAGCACAAUGUAUUUCUCUAAUUCUAUUGGGUUUCCUCAAUUUCUCACAAUAAUGUUCUAUAGUUUUCUGUGUAGAGGUCUUGCAAAAUUUUUGCUAGAUGUAUCCCUAUGUAUUGAUAUUUUUGAUGUUAUUAUGAAUAGUAUAUUUCUUAAGAAUUUCUUCUAACUGUUGCUAGUAUAUAAAAAUGAAAUAAAAGUAAAUUCUGAUAGAUUAUCCACUGAUUCAAGCAAGUUGUCUAUAAAAAGUGGAUAAUUUUAUUUCUUCAUUUACAAUCCCUAAUCCUUUUUCUUUUUCUAUUUUUUUCUUUAUUGCACUGGUUAGGAUCUCCAGCACAGUGUUGAACUUAUGUCUAAAGUCAAGGUGAUAACUUUCAAUAUUAUAACAUUACAUAUAAAUGUUUUCAUAGAUACUUUUUAUAAAUACUUUGUCAGAUUCAAGAAGUUUAUGUUCCUAGUUUGCCGAGACAUUUUUUUUAAGAAUCAUUAAUGGUUAUAGGAUUUUAUCAUAUUCUUUUUCUGAAUCUUUUGAGAUGAUCAGCUUUUAAAUUCUUCUUUUAAUGUGGUGAAUUAAAUUAAUUUUAAAAUGUUAAACCAACUCUGCAUUCCCAGAAUGAACUCAAUUUGAUCAUGAUAUAGUAUUCUUUUUUCAUAUACUAUUUACUUCAAUUUGACAAUAUUUGUUAAAAAUUUAUAUAUCUUUAUUCAUGAGAGAAACUUGCCUGUAAUUUUCCUUUCUUGUAAUGACUUGUCAGGUUUUAGAGUCAAGGUUAUGCUAGCUUAAUUCCUUACAUAAUUGGAAGAAUUCAUUGGUGAAGUCAUUGGGAUCUGAUGAUUUUUCACCUAUUUUCUUGAAAAUACUCUUUAGGGGUUACUAAUGUAUGGGUUCAAUACCUGAAUCACCUGUGGGUCUGUUUAUAUUGUCUUUUUUCUCUUUGUUUUUAGUCAUAGGUCUUGUUUCUUAGCAUCUCUAUUAACUCUUAAUUGAAUUGUAGAAAAUAUGUAAUGUCACUUGAUAAAAUUUUAAAUGUUUUUUACUGGGAAAAAAGCACACAAAUUCAGCAUUUUCCAUCUCAGUAUAUGGUAUGAUGCAUUUUCUGGUUUGUUCAAUGCUUUUCAAGAACAAAAUGAAUUCUGCUUUGAAAAAUGGGGC